AUGGUCUUCAAGCUCGAUUUCAGGAAGGCUUUUGAUUCUGUUGCCUGGCCUGCCCUAGACAGAAUCUUGGUUGUUCGUGGUUUCUCACAAACCUUUCGUUCCUGGAUUCAAAAUAUCCUCCUCACGGGCAAAACUGCUAUCCUCCUAAACGACACCCCAGGCCACUGGAUACAAUGCAAGAACGGCCUACGGCAGGGUGACCCGGCCUCCCCCUACCUGUUUCUCAUCGUCGCCGAUCUGCUUCAGCAACUCAUCCUCCAAAACUCCGAGCCUGCUCUCCACCACCCCAUCUUCACCCACCAUUCUCCAAUACGCCGACGACACGCUCCUCAUUGCAGCCGCCUCUCCCAUCGCCGCCGCAGCCCUCAAAACAAUACUCAACAACUUUGCACAAGCCACCGGCCUCACCAUCAACUUCACAAAAACCACCCUGGCUACUCUGCACACAGAUGA
rnacentral:rRNA from 1 species